rnacentral:tRNA from 1 species
GGAGCUGUGGCACAAUGGGUUAAUGCCCUGGCCUGAAGCGCCGGCAUCCCAUAUGGGCCCUGGUUUGAGACCCGGCUGCUCCA